AACGAACGCUGGCGGCGUGGAUAAGACAUGCAAGUCGAACGGGAUAUCAUUUGUAGCAAUACAAGUGAUGUCCAGUGGCGUAAGGGUGCGUAACACGUGGGCAACCUGCCGAGAAGUGGGGGAUAGCUCGUCGAAAGGCGAAUUAAUACCGCAUAUGGCUAGGGAAGACAUCUUCCUCAAGCCAAAGCCGGGGCAACCUGGCGCUUCUUGAUGGGCCCGCGGCCAUCAGCUAGUUGGUGAGGUAACGGCUCACCAAGGCUAUGACGGGUAGCUGGCCUGAGAGGGCGACCGGCCACACUGGGACUGAGACACGGCCCAGACUCCUACGGGAGGCAGCAGUGGGGAAUAUUGCACAAUGGGCGAAAGCCUGAU
rnacentral:rRNA from 1 species